rnacentral:rRNA from 1 species
GGCGGACGGGUGCGUAACACGUGGGUAAUCUACCUUCCGGCGGGGGACAACAGUCCGAAAGGAUUGCUAAUACCGCAUACGUCAGCGAGGUCCACGGACCUUGUUGGGAAAGAUGGCCUCUCCUUGGAAGCUGUCACCGGAAGAUGAGCCCGCGGGCCAUCAGCUAGUUGGUGAGGUAAUGGCUCACCAAGGCUUAGACGGGUAGCUGGUCUGAGAGGAUGAUCAGCCACACUGGGACUGCGACACGGCCAGACUCCUACGGGAGGCAGCAGUGGGGAAUAUUGGGCAAUGGGCGCAAGCCUGACCCAAGCCACGCCGCGUGAGUGAUGACGGCCUUCGGGUCGUAAAGCUCUGUGGGGCAGGGACGAACAAGCUCGGCAUUAAACACCGCCGGGCCCUGACGGUACCUCCUUAGCAAGCACGGCUAACCCUGUGCCA